AUCAUAGGUCAUGGGUACCAGCAUCCCCAGUUCUCAUCAGGAAGCAGUACCCCAGGGCACAUGUCCCACAGACUGCUGAAAGAGAUCUUGCUCAGGUAAGGGGACCACUUCACAGCUCCUGCUGAGGGGCAGAGCCCAGGUGGGAAGCCAAGGAUGCAGCAAGCAAGCUCAUCAUCCCUGCGCAUCAGUUUGGUGUUAGGGUUUAGGAGCCUGUGAGUUGCCCACUCCCCACAAAGCCCCCCUAACCUUCAGCUUGCCACAUUCAAGACCCUCCACAUAGUGUCCGGUUGGCUACAUCUCUGUUCCUAAGGGUUUCCCAGGAUGAGGGGGUGCAGGAGCCCCCCAGAAGUGCCCAUCCUCUAACCAACUGGGGGCCAGCUAAGCAGACAUCUUGGUCAAGCCUCAGCCCGUAGACUUGUGCUCUUGUGGCAUAAGAUGAGCCUCUGGGAACCAACUCGAGACCUACUGUUUGGGAGUUCGCCGGAGCAACGAGCCCCUUCUGAGGCCUCUAAGCUGCUGAGCUCUGCAGGAUUGAGGUCAUGAUCCCUGCCAUGUUCCAGAGGCUUCACAAGAAGAUGAAGGGACCCAGGAGGAGAUUGUGGGUCCAUGGGAACUGUCAGGCCCCAGAGAACCUCCUAGCCCAUGCUGGAAGAGAAGGCCAUUCCAUCUGGGAAUCACAUGGCACUGGGUGGAGAGAGAACCGACUGGGCCUGACGCCUUGCAGAACCAGCAUCCAGCCUGUGUCCAAAGUGCUCCUGGAACCACAGAAUGUUUCAUGCCUCCAACCCUGCCCCCUCUGUCUGUCUGUCUGUUUGUCCAUCUGUCCAUCUGUCUCUCUCUCUCUCUCUCUCUCUCUCUCUCUCUCUCUCUCUGUGUGUGUGUGUGUGUGUGUGUUACAUACAUGUAUAACAUUCAACACUCACACUCAUGCUCUGGCCCAUGACUUUAUCCAUGUGCUCAGCAUCCUCCCAUCCAGAAAUCUCCAAGGCUCCCAACUGCACAGGCGACCAGCCUGAGUUCUCUGCCGGUCACUCCCAGGCUCCACCCAGCCCUUCCCCAGCCCCUUCACACAGCCCAGCUCAGCCAGGCAGGUCUCCCCUAGGGCACUAUUUUCGAGCACACUUUCUCUGCAGAUGUUCAGUCAUUUGCACCUGGGGCUGCUCU
rnacentral:lncRNA from 1 species